rnacentral:rRNA from 1 species
GGCGAAUACGUUAUAUUCUUAUGUGAAAUUGAAUAUAGCUGAAUUUUCUUAUUUUGAAGAAUACAUUAGGAUACAAUUAAUGUGUCCUUUUCCCUAUUCUACUUAAUUCGCAAUUCAUGCUGUUUCUCUUUUGCAUAGGAAUGUAUUCGUUUGAUUGUAAAGCUUCUUAGAGGAACGAUGUG